GACGUAGGGCGCAAGCGUUGUCCGGAUUUAUUGGGCGUAAAGAGCUCGUAGGCGGCUUGUCGCGUCGUCUGUGAAAACCAGCAGCUCAACUGCUGGUCUGCAGUCGAUACGGGCAGGCUAGAGUUCGGUAGGGGAGACUGGAAUUCCUGGUGUAGCGGUGAAAUGCGCAGAUAUCAGGAGGAACACCGGUGGCGAAGGCGGGUCUCUGGGCCGAAACUGACGCUGAGGAGCGAAAGCGUGGGGAGCGAAC
rnacentral:rRNA from 1 species